AACGAACGCUGGCGGCAGGCUUAACACAUGCAAGUCGAGCGCCCCGCAAGGGGAGCGGCAGACGGGUGAGUAACGCGUGGGAAUCUACCCAUCUCUACGGAAUAACGCAUGGAAACGUGUGCUAAUACCGUAUACGUCCUUCGGGAGAAAGAUUUAUCGGAGAUGGAUGAGCCCGCGUUGGAUUAGCUAGUUGGUGGGGUAAAGGCCUACCAAGGCGACGAUCCAUAGCUGGUCUGAGAGGAUGAUCAGCCACACUGGGACUGAGACACGGCCCAGACUCCUACGGGAGGCAGCAGUAGGGAAUAUUGGACAAUGGGCGCAAGCUUGAUCCAGCCAUGCCGCGUGAGUGAUGAAGGCCCUAGGGUUGUAAAGCUCUUUCACCGGUGAAGAUAAUGACGGUAAUCGGAGAAGAAGCCCCGGCUAACUUCGUGCCAGCCGCCGCCGUAAAAC
rnacentral:rRNA from 1 species